rnacentral:rRNA from 1 species
UACGUAGGCAGCGAGCGUUGUUCGGAGUUACUGGGCGUAAAGGGUGUGUAGGCGGUUUUCUAAGUUUGGUGUGAAAUCUCCCGGCUCAACCGGGAGGGUGCGCCGAAAACUGGGAGACUAGAGUGCGGGAUGGGAGAGUAGAAUUCCUGGUGUAGCGGUGAAAUGCGCAGAUAUCGGGAGGAACACCAAUUGCGAAGGCAGCUCGCUGGGACGUCACUGACGCUGAGACGCGAAAGCGUGGGGAGCAAACAGG